GGCCCUACACAGGCAGCAAGGAUGGAAAACUGAAAGGAUCAACAGGAGUUAAUAUUUAUUCACUGGAAAUUGGAUUAUACAGGACAUCUGCUGAUUUCUUGGUCAUCUCUUAGUCAUCCUUCAGUACAUUUUGUUGUCCUGUCCUGGUUUCCUGAUACACCAGCAAAGAUGAGAAGAUUGACAGCUUUUCCAACUCUGAUGUCACAUCUGGUAUUCAUCCACCUGGAACCUCUUCUUACUGCUCGAAGUACACAUAACCGGAAGCUCCACCAUCUUUGAGUCAGUAACAACUAUAAUCCCAUCUGGUUUGCCCACGGGUGCCCUAACACUUCUUAUUGUGUUGUCUUGUUCUUACAAUGUGUAUGUGUAUUGUGCGAUUUUUGAGACCCUGACGACCCUCCAACUGCACUGUGCCCAAAAAGUCUGUUAACACAGGCAAGGAUUGGUUGUCCACAGCCAGUGCAACAUCACGUUCACAGGCUCAUUGAGUAAUGUGUCUGUUGCUUGAAGGUUGAUGCAGGGAACAUUUAAAAGCAGUUGCUGACCUGACCUUGUGCUCACUUUCUGUCUUCUCUCUGAGGAAGGUUAUCUGUUCUUUA